CAGCAGGCGCGAAACCUUUACAAUGCACGCAAGUGUGAUAAGGGAAUCCUCAGUGCUCAUGCAAUGCAUGGGCUUUUGCUAAGCGUAAAUAGCUUGGCGAAUAAGUGGUGGGUAAGACUGGUGCCAGCCGCCGCGGUAACACCAGCGCCACGAGUGGCAACCACGUUUAUUGGGCCUAAAGCGUCCGUAGCCGGUUAGGUAAAUCUCUUGUGAAAUCGUCAUGCUUAACGUGACGGCGUGCUCGAGACACUGCCUAACUUGAGACCGGGAGGAGUCAGAGGUAUUCCUGAGGGAGCGGUAAAAUGUGAUAAUCUCAGGAGGAUCACCUAUGGCGAAGGCAUCUGACCAGAACGGAUCUGACGGUGAGGGACGAAGGCUAGGGGAGCGAUCCGGAUUAGAUACCCGAGUAGUCCUAGCAGUAAACGCUGCGAGCAAGAUGUUGCGCUUCUCAUGAGGAUGCGCAGUGUCGAAGAGAAGUCAUUAAGCUCGCCGCCUGGGAAGUACGGUCGCARSACUGAAACUUUAAGGAAUUGG
rnacentral:rRNA from 1 species